rnacentral:rRNA from 1 species
CCUACGGGUGGCUGCAGUGGGGGAUCUUGCACAAUGGAGGGAACCCUGAUGCAGCGACGCCGCGUGGGUGAAGGAGCGUUUCGGCGCGUAAAGCCCUAUUGUCAGGGAAGAAGAAGGACGGUACCUGACUAAGAAGCCCCGGCUAACUACGAGCCAGCAGCCGCGGCAAAACGGAGGGGGCAAGCGUUAGCCGUAUUUACUGGGUGUAAAGGGUGCGCAGACGGCAGCGCAAGCCAGGGGUGAAAGCCCGGGGCCCAACCGCGGUGCUGCACUUGGAACUGGGCGGCUGGAGUGCAGGAGGGGCAGGCGGAAUUCCUGGUGUAGCGGUGAAAUGCGUAGAUAUCAGGAGGAACACCGGUGGCGAAGGCGGCCUGCUGGACUGCGACUGACGUUGAGGCCCGAAAGCGUGGGGAGCAAACAGGAUUAGAUACCCCAGUAGUC